CGUGCGUGUGGGAAGGAGGGAGUUGUCAUUGUGAAGAAUUGUUCAGAAGAACGGGGGAUUUACUCGUGUCCUAGUUUACUGGCUUGAAGGCUCAAGCUGCACGAGGGCAGGCAGGAGCUGCUCUCUUCUCACUGACCGUUUGCCACGACAUGAGAAUGAACAUCGUGCAACCAGCGACCUACAGCUACAGCUCUGUUCUCCGCAGCAUCCCCACCUUGAGCAGUGGCAGUGGCACAGCAAAGCCGGGCAAACCAAGAGGGGCAGGGACCAGCUGCAGGGAGGUGCAGGGAGGCAGCACGGAAGUUCACCCACCUUCAGCUUUCAUCCUGUUGCCAGAGCUGGCAGCUGUUAUCCUGGUUGCCAAUCUUCCUGUCCAGCUGUACAUCCUCCAGCCUGAAAACAUCUUCUUCAGCCUCUCAAGCUCACCGCUCGCACUGGCUAGCGUGUAUGGGCGGAUGGGAGAUUGGGCUGUCAGGCUGUCAACUUCCAUGAGCCCAAGCUCCUCGGUGAAAGGGAGAUGGCCAUUUUCCCAACAACGUCUCCAGCUUCCUUCUUUACAGCCAGUCAAGUCCAAUGACAUCAAAUAUUAAUCUGGCACACAACUUGGGCUGUCCAAAUGCAUUUUAUAACCAACAGCAUAUCAAAUCCUUGGGACCUGAUGACAAUCACUCCUUUGUUGUCACAUCCUUCAGUCACUUUAACCCAAAUUCUCAGCCAAUUCAAAGGAAAGAAUGGUGCUUCAGAGGACUGAUUACAGCAAAAGAGCUUCAAAACAUGAAAGGAGGGAAGGCAGAGCUGCAACUCAUCACAAAAGAUCCUACCAUAAAAUCUAGAGAAUGAACAAGAAGCCUUAGAUGAUCUCACAGCAAGAGGCUCUGUUGUUAUUUUGAGCAGAGGCAGAAUUUCUCUGCAGGGGCAGAAUUUGGAGCAUCCUGGCUCUGGUAUUUGGGCUUGCAGCUCAGAGUUCUCUGUACAAGACUACAGCCAGUGAGAGAAAAUUAAAAAUUGACCAUAAAUUAUUCAAAGGAAGCCAAGAAAUAAAAGAUAGGCUAAAGAAGAAUUCUUUUGAAUAACUUGAACCAAAAUCCUAAGCACAUUAGCUGGAAGAUUCAGAGAAAUAGCAUGAAGGAAAUUUGUUUAUAGUCUUGGAAGAAAAUGUGUGAACUCAGUUUAGUAAUAUACCUGGCACAGCUGAAGAAAGAGGAAGUAUCUACACCGUACUGGCACCACUACUGACCUUAUCAUAUGUGGAAUAGAUGGCACAGGAUCAGGAGAACAGAAACAGAUCCAUAGUCUCUUGGUGGAGAUGAUUUUGCAGGGCUGUGAUCCAAGCCAGAAGGCUGAGCAGGAGUCCACUUUCCAUGCACAAGCUACCACCGCAGAAAUGAUGUGCAAAAUGGCUCUUUUACUCUUCACUCAAGGCUUUUAAGGACAUUUGCAGACCUUGUACGCAGUGGGAAAGAGGCAGAGGAGGAGAGUGACUGGGCAGCCCUCCCUUCUUUCCAAGUGGAAGCGGCCUAGCAGGCUGUUUUUAUCUCCAGGACUCUUCCUGAAGGAUGUGCUGAAUUAAUGCCCCAAGCAGGAGUGCAGCUGAAGGCUCACCGUGCCCUACAGAGAAGUGACAACACAGCUGCGGGUGGCAGGAUCCCUCCCUUGGUCUUUGUGCCCUUCAGUGGUGGACGAAGGCUCCAGCGAGGUGUUUGCAGCCUACAGAGGCCAUGAGCCCGGUGCCUCUGCCUGUUGGUUCACCAAGCGAAGGCAACAGAGUCAAAGUAGCAGAAGGCCUGUGCACGAUGGGGCUGUGAUACUGGCCUGGGUGAGCAGCUAGCACUAAUUUGAGCAGCCCAAAGGUCACGACUAUUUAUGCAGAUAAAAGGUCAGUGGCAAGCUGGCAGGUGGCUGUGGGCUAUCUUGGUACGCGCUGCGCCCCGGGCGCUGAUGUCUGCGUCUGGUUCACAGUUAGUUUGUCUUUCCACAUGGACUUUCAGGCCAGGUUCUGGC
ensembl:lncRNA